UACGGGGGGGGCAAGCGUUGUUCGGAAUUACUGGGCGUAAAGGGCGCGUAGGCGGCUUGGCAAGUGGAUGGUGAAAUCCCUCGGCUUAACCGAGGAACUGCCAUCCAGACUGCUUUGCUUGAGGCCGGGAGAGGUAAGUGGAAUUCCCAGUGUAGCGGUGAAAUGCGUAGAUAUUGGGAGGAACACCAGUGGCGAAGGCGGCUUACUGGACCGGUUCUGACGCUGAGGCGCGAAAGCGUGGGGAGCAAACGGG
rnacentral:rRNA from 1 species